UGGGGAAUUUUGGACAAUGGGCGAAAGCCUGAUCCAGCAAUGCCGCGUGUGUGAAGAAGGCCUUCGGGUUGUAAAGCACUUUUUGUCCGGAAAGAAAUCCUUGGCUCUAAUACAGUCGGGGGAUGACGGUACCGGAAGAAUAAGCACCGGCUAACUACGUGCCAGCAGCCGCGGUAAUACGUAGGGUGCAAGCGUUAAUCGGAAUUACUGGGCGUAAAGCGUGCGCAGGCGGUUUGCUAAGACCGAUGUGAAAUCCCCGGGCUCAACCUGGGAACUGCAUUGGUGACUGGCAGGCUAGAGUAUGGCAGAGGGGGGUAGAAUUCCACGUGUAGCAGUGAAAUGCGUAGAGAUGUGGAGGAAUACCGAUGGCGAAGGCAGCCCCCUGGGCCAAUACUGACGCUCAUGUACGAAAGCGUGGGAGCAAACAGGAUUAGAUACCCUGGUAGUCCACGCCCUAAACGAUGUCAACUAGUUGUUGGGGAUUCAUUUUCCUAGUAACGUAGCUAACGCGUGAAGUUGACCGCCUGGGGAGUACGGUCGCAA
rnacentral:rRNA from 1 species